rnacentral:lncRNA from 1 species
GCUUUCCGCUAACUACCACCGUCCUGCCGGGUUCCACACAGGCUGCUGCUGCAGUGGGGCAAACUUGAAAGGCUGAAGGCCUCUUCCACCGCAGACCUCUCACCUUGCCAGGAAAGAGGACUAAAAGGCAAAGGUAACCACGGCCCCAAAGGAGGCGGCGAACAGGAAGUGUCCAUAUUGCAGCGCUGAAACAGUAGCUCCCAAGACAGCCACCCUCUGAGGCCCCCUCGAGGCGGUGGAGGGGCGAGAGGGUGCCGGGGUCGCUCCCACACACACCCGGGACCCGCCUCUGCCCACCACAACGCCCGGCCGCCCCCGGCACCUCCCCGUGCACUACUUGGCGGGGCCCAGCCAGUCCCAACUGGGGCCGGACGAGGACUCCGAGCCCGACAUGUCUCGCUCCACUUCAAGCCAGAGGAGGGGGCGUUGCAAAGGCUCCGAGGUGCUUGGGGUACUUCCCUAACAGCAGAUUCCAGCCCCGAGCCGAGCCCUGAGGGUCCUUGGGGCCCCCUCCACGCCUUCCCGGAGAGACGACACCCCUCGCCGCGGUUUCCGCCGCGCGACAGCCCCUCCCGGGCGGUCAUUACCUCUCAGGAAAAACUCCUAACUCCUCACAAGCCACACUCCCCUCAGUUCGACAUCCCCCGGAGCCCACACACCACCCGAUACGCGCGCCGGGGACACCCCCGCGCCGGCGCAAAUUCCUCACUGGACAAAAAUGUCCGGGCGCGUCACGGGACAGCCGCCUCCGCGCCCCACGCCUGGCGCGGGUCGCUCGCGCUGCCUCCGCGCCCGGGAGCUGCGCCGCGGGCUGGGGCGGGGAGCGCCGACCCUGGAGGGGACCGCUCCGCCCGGGACUCACCGUCAGCUCGGCCGGGAGGCGAGGGACCGGCCGGGGAAGACACAAUAUGGCAGAGCACCGCAGCUGUUCCCUGCAGCUUCCAGCAGUCGCCUCCGGGAAGACGCGGCAACCAGCAGGCAGCAGCAGCUGCAGUGGCGGCCCCGGCAGCACCACAUCCCCCUCCCGCUCGCUUCCUCCCCCUCCCUCCCCUUCCCCGCUGCCAUGGCAACGCGGCGCCAAGGCGAUUAGCCCCACCCCUCCCUCCAGUCCCGCCUCCCGCGACCCCGAGGAAGGGGGCUCGGCCGGCCCCUCCCGGUUCCCGCCCACCUCCUACCGAAGGGAGGGGCCUGGGUUCCGGCUGGCUGCCUGGCACGGCGGCUGGGGUGGGGGUGAAAUGCAGGGUCCGGAAGGGCGGGGCUCACACGGAAAGCAGGGUGGAGGCGCUGUAGGCCGGUGCGGGUUUAGGGCUGAGCAGGGCAGGGGAAAGCGGGAAAAUGCAAAGGCCUCGCAUGUCCGAGGAAGGACCUAUAGGAGUGCGGCGGAGGCGCGGCGCGGCCGCUGAGUGGUCGAGGAGGCGCGGGGGCGGGGCUAGGCUGCCGCAGGGCAGUACGGCCCUCGGUGCCUGUGCCCGGGCUGAGGAGACCUUCCUCGACACCCCACGUUAUGUGGGUUUCCGCAAGACCUUCCGCCAUUGCCUGGGCUUUGAAAGCGCUUUAGGAACGAUACGGAAACGGAGGCUUAGAAGUGGAAACUUUACAGAUAUGGAAACUGAGACUUAGAAAAAUGACCCGUCAAAGAGGUGGGAUUUCACCAUGUUGCCGAGACUGGUCUCAAACUCCUGAGCUCAAGUGAUCCUCCUACCUCAGCCUUCCGAGUAGUGGUGACUACGGACACAGGCCAUACACUUCACUGGAUGGAAGACAUUCUCCAGUAGUUUUCUGAAAAAGAGUAUGCAGAAGUUAAAUUUUCUGAGAUCUUGGUUGUCUGAAAAUGUCUUUAUUCUACCUUCCUGCUUGAUUGGUGCAGUAACUAGAUAAAGAAUUUGAGAUCAGGAAUGUUUUGCCUUUAGAAUGUUGAAGGCUUUGCUCCAUGAUGUCUAGUUUCAAGUGCUGCUAUUGAGAAAUCUCAAGCUAUUCUGAUUCCUAGUAUGUGACUGAUUUUUUGGUAGGAUUUUCAUUUUGUAUCCAAUGAAAUUUCAAAAUGAUAUGCCUUUGUAUGAGUCUAAUUUUCACUUAUUCUGUCGGGCAUCCAGAAGGCCCUUGCAGUCUAGAAACGGGUAAAUUCUCUCGAAUUAUUCAUUACUUCUUUCUUCUUCUCUGUUAUUUCGAUGUUGGAUCUCCUGACUGGGCUCCACUUUUCUUCUAAUUUCUCUUCUAUUUUCUUUCUUUUUUUUUUUUUUUUUUUUUUGCUCUAUUUUCUGGAGAAUUUUCUCGAAUUUAUAUUCCACAUUUCUAGUGACUUUUUUCAUUGCUGUUAUCACGUUUUCAAUGUUUAAGAGCUCUUUUUUUGUUGUUUUUUGAAUUUUUUCACAGCACUCUAUGUGCAAGAUCUUCUCUUGUCUUUCUGAGGAUAUUAAUAUACUUUUAAAAAUAUAUAGUUUAUUUUUCCUAAAAGGCUCUUUGUUCUAAGUUGUCUUUUUUCUAUUUGUUUGUUGUGAUGUUCAUUUUCCAUGUUAGGGUCUUUCCUCAGAUGUCUGGUAAUCCUUGGUUUUCUGUUCAUGAUUUAAAGUGAGGAACUAAUUUUCUCGGGUGUUGGAAAUGUUCCAUAUCCUGGUAGGGAUGUGAGUUACAUGGGUGUACACAUUUGUCAAAACUGCUUAAACUGUAUACUUACAAUCUGUGCAUUGCACUACUGUAUAAAUUAUACCUUAAAAAACCCACCCAAUUUAAAAAAAAUAAAACUAAAAACAAGUGAGGAAUGAAAACACUAGAAGCUCUGAGCAAGUGAGUGGGCCUUACCAAUCUAGAAAUUUACCUUUGGCCCAUCUGGGUGAACCAUUUGUUGGUACAGAACCCAGCCCUCAGUGGGGCCUGACAUUCCCCUGUCCUAAUACUCUCUUUUUCCUUCAAAAUGAGUAAACAUCCAGGCUAUACUAGGAUACAGGAGGACAGUUCCCCAGCAGUAUCGAGUGGGGGAAGCAGCUUUAAGGGCUUCACUACUUCUCAAUCAUCUUUCACCCAAUCCUCCUUAUAUCAGCAUGAUGCCCCUUCACCACAAUUCCAUUGUUACCUGGUAUAAAUAGUUGUUGAAACUUUUGAGACUUUUGCAAUGUAAAUUGAUUUGUUUCUUUGCUUUCUUCACUGCCACUAUCCAGCUUCUGAAAUAUUGUUGUUCUUGUCUCUACUCUUGUUCACCCAGUUCCAGAGGGAUUACAUCUUUUUUAGAAAAUAAAUCUCUUUAUUGUACCUUGUGUAGGAUUUCAAGAGGAAGAGAAAUAAGAUGUGUAUCCAAUCUACUACCUUAGAAUUCAGGAAAUCAGAAAUGUGGUUUUAAGCUCUCCAGCUUCUGCAAUACAGGAAGAUCCUCUAUAAGGAGUUUGGAAUCAAUGCUAAAAAUGACCCACCAACACUAACAUAUUCCACUCCUUUGGCCAGUUAACAUCUCUACAUAUCCUUCUGUCCAUACUUUAAUUUCUAAACAACAGUAGCAAUCCAAACAUGCUCUCACCUAACAAAAUGCCAUGAUCCUUUGUGCAAAUGAAAACAUGCUCAGUAUCUCUAUUAUUGGUUAUUAUCUAUAAUUAUGUGUGUGUUGAGUGGUUUCUGCAACUGAUCAUGAGGCCACAAUUUGUAUUCAUAACUUCCUUCCUUUGUACCAGCAAUACUGCUGUUUGGGGUUCAUUUUGUCUGUUAAUUCAAUUAGUGGUUGGACUAGACAUUUUGAACUGCCAAGAAGAAAAUUUCAAAUAAGUCUUCCCUAUCCUUCAUUAUUUUCAAAUGCAGAUCUCCAGCCUUCUGGCAUUGCAGGGAUAGUUUUGAUAUUACUGAAAAGAGAAAAGCAAAAAAGGGUCAUGUGUUGCACUUUUCUGUGAAGAUGAGGGUCCCAGGUGAAAAUCACAGCUAGACACCUGAGCACUUUUAAAAAGUUAAGCAAAUAUGGAUUCAUUUACUGAUAUAAGGAAGAUGGACAUGCCUUGGAUUCAAGGCCAGCAAGUGGUAAGGUUGCUAUGUUUGUUAUCCAAGUUAAGAAGCCUGACUGAUAUGGUUAGGCUUUGUGUCCCCACCUAAAUCUCAUCUUGAGUUGUAAUCCCCAUAAUCCCCACGUGUCAAGGAAGAAACCAGGUGGAGGUAAUUGAAUCAUGGGGCCGUUUCCCUCAUGCUGUUCUCGUGAUACUGAGUGAGUUCUCAGGAGAUCCGAUGGUUUUAUAAGGGGCUCUUCCCGCUUCACUCGGCAUUUCUUCCUGAUGGCUUGUGAAGAAGGUGUCUUGCUUACCCUUCGCCCUUCUCCGUGAUUGUAAAUUUCCUGAGGCCUCCCCAGUCACGCUGAACUGUGAGUCAAUUAAACCUCUUUCCUUCAUAAAUUACCCAGUCUUGGGCAGUCCUUUAUAGCAGUGUGAAAACGAACUAAUACACUGACUUUCUGUUCAAGAAAGCCAUCAACCGUGAUCCAGAGAUGGUCAGCAGGGGUAAUUGCAAGUAGAAUUAAGUUGGUCCUCAACAAGCAGUUUUGUAAGGGUAACACAUUUUUUUUCAGUGUCCUCCUUCCUCUCUCAUCGGCCCCAGUUUUUCCUUCUCUCCCCAGCCUGUAUUGCAUUUGUACCUGUCUCUGCUCAAAUACAAACUGUUUAUAAUGUCAACUGAUAAAAGACUGGUAUAACCCCUUUAAGAGUUAUUUGCAUUUCAAUAGAGGAUUCAUCGAAACUGAAAAGGUUUCAAAAUUAAAGAGUAGAACUUUACUGAUAAAAUAACAGAUGGUGAAAUUAAUCUGCCCCACCUCCACCUGAUUUUGAGCAGAAGGUCCCAUUAGCCUACCAUUCCACUGAAUUGCUCUGUAAUAUAGAUUAUAAUUAAUGAUGGGGCAGUAUUAUAUUCACAUCUCUUGACAGUCAGCCCAUGUUCAGACUCUAUUGUCAUAGAGCUGAAAGGUGAGCUUUAUUAAUUUAUAUUUCUAUUAUUAAGCCUAGAAUAUGUGCAUAGUGGUCAGCUUGUAUGUUUAUGAUACAGAGCUCUAGUCUGUCAACACAGGUUACAUCAUCUGCCAAAUUUAUACCUGGUCACUAGGAAAACUGACUUGGGGAACUAAUGGUAAUUUUCCCAGGUCUCUUUCAUCUGGCAAUUUUAACCACUUUUUUUUUUAAAUUUUUGUGGGUACAUAGUAGGUAUAUAUAUUUAUUGGGUACAUGAGAUGUUAUGAUACAGGUAUGCAAUGCAUAAUAAUCACAUCAUGGAAGAUGGGGUAUCCAUCCCCUCAAGCAUUUAUCCUUUGUGUUACAAACAAUCCAAUUAUAUUCUUUUAGUUAUUUGGAAAUGUACAAUGAAAUUAUUAUUGACUAUCG